GUGUCAGCCGCCGCGGUAAUACAGAGGUGGCGAGCGUUGUUCGGAUUGAUUGGGUGUAAAGGGUGCGUAGGCGGUUUGGAAAGUCGGGUGUGAAAUCCUAUGGCUCAACCAUAGAACUGCAUUCGAAACUUCCAGACUGGAGUGCGAGAGAGGUGAAAGGAAUUCCCGGUGUAAGGGUGAAAUCUGUAGAGAUCGGGAGGAACACCUAUAGCGAAGGCAUUUCACUGGCUCGCAACUGACGCUGAGUGCACGAAAGCGUGGGGAGCAAACGGGAUUAGAAACCCCAGUAGUCC
rnacentral:rRNA from 1 species